AUAAAUCACUUUAAAAAAGUCCAUCCAAACUCUCCCUAAGUAGGGUUUCCUAUUUAGCUCUCCGUCUUCGCCUCCGCAUUCCUCUCUACUAUUUCUCUAAGUGCUUCUUUGAACUCCUCUUCCUCUUUUUGUUCUUUUUCCUCUUCUUUCAACUCUUUCUUCCCUUUCAGAGGUAUACUCCAAUGGAUGCAGUGGAUUUCAAGGUGGUUUGGACAAAGAUGUCAAGUCUGUUGACAGAAGUCUAUAAGUGGAGAUUUCAAGAUGCUCCCAGUCUCCUUUCGAAAAGAGUUCUUCUUCAGGCACAAGUCUAAUCUUCCUUAUUUGACUUCAAGGACAUCAAUUUUUACUGGUGGAACUUUUUGUAAGCUGACAUAGACUAGGAUAGAUAGUUUAGUAAUAGUUAUAGCUAUGUAUGCCAUGUAGUGGCAAAAUUUCUUAUGUACAUAUCAGGACCAUUCUUUGUCAUGUUAAUAUUUCUAUUCCUACUCCUUA